CCUGGGAACUGCGUUNUGAACUGGGUGACUAGAGUGUGUCAGAGGGAGNUAGAAUUCCACGUGUAGCGGUGAAAUGCGUAGAGAUGUGGAGGAAUACCGAUGGCGAAGGCAGCCUCCUGGGAUAACACUGACGUUCAUGCCCGAAAGCGUGGGUAGCAAACAGGAUUAGAUACCCUGGUAGUCCACGCCCUAAACGAUGUCGAUUAGCCGUUGGGCAGCAUGACUGCUUAGUAGCGAAGCUAACGCGUGAAAUCGACCGCCUGGGGAGUACGGUCGCAAGAUUAAAACUCAAAGGAAUUGACGGGGACCCGCACAAGCGGUGGAUGAUGUGGAUUAAUUCGAUGCGACGCGAAGAACCUUACCUGGUCUUGACAUGUACGGAACCCUCCAGAGACGGAGGGGUGCCUUCGGGAGCCGUAACACAGGUGCUGCAUGGCUGUCGUCAGCUCGUGUCGUGAGAUGUUGGGUUAAGUCCCGCAACGAGCGCAACCCUUGUCAUUAGUUGCCAUCAUUAAGUUGGGCACUCUAAUGAGACUGCCGGUGACAAGCCGGAGGAAGGUGGGGAUGACGUCAAGUCCUCAUGGCCCUUAUGACCAGGGCUUCACACGUCAUACAAUGGUCGGUACAGAGGGUAGCCAAGCCGCGAGGUGGAGCCAAUCUCACAAAACCGAUCGUAGUCCGGAUUGCACUCUGCAACUCGAGUGCAUGAAGUCGGAAUCGCUAGUAAUCGCAGGUCAGCAUACUGCGGUGAAUACGUUCCCGGGUCUUGUACACACCGCCCGUCACACCAUGGGAGUGGGGGAUACCAGAAGUAGGUAGGGUAACCGCAAGGAGCCCGCUUNCCACGG
rnacentral:rRNA from 1 species